UGCAAGUCGAGCGNACAGAAGGGAGCUUGCUCCCGGAUGUUAGCGGCGGACGGGUGAGUAACACGUGGGUAACCUGCCUGUAAGACUGGGAUAACUCCGGGAAACCGGAGCUAAUACCGGAUAGUUCCUUGAACCGCAUGGUUCAAGGAUGAAAGACGGUUUCGGCUGUCACUUACAGAUGGACCCGCGGCGCAUUAGCUAGUUGGUGGGGUAAUGGCUCACCAAGGCGACGAUGCGUAGCCGACCUGAGAGGGUGAUCGGCCACACUGGGACUGAGACACGGCCCAGACUCCUACGGGAGGCAGCAGUAGGGAAUCUUCCGCAAUGGACGAAAGUCUGACGGAGCAACGCCGCGUGAGUGAUGAAGGUUUUCGGAUCGUAAAGCUCUGUUGUUAGGGAAGAACAAGUGCGAGAGUAACUGCUCGCACCUUGACGGUACCUAACCAGAAAGCCACGGCUAACUACGUGCCAGCAGCCGCGGUAAUACGUAGGUGGCAAGCGUUGUCCGGAAUUAUUGGGCGUAAAGGGCUCGCAGGCGGUUUCUUAAGUCUGAUGUGAAAGCCCCCGGCUCAACCGGGGAGGGUCAUUGGAAACUGGGAAACUUGAGUGCAGAAGAGGAGAGUGGAAUUCCACGUGUAGCGGUGAAAUGCGUAGAGAUGUGGAGGAACACCAGUGGCGAAGGCGACUCUCUGGUCUGUAACUGACGCUGAGGAGCGAAAGCGUGGGGAGCGAACAGGAUUAGAUACCCUGGUAGUCCACGCCGUAAACGAUGAGUGCUAAGUGUUAGGGGGUUUCCGCCCCUUAGUGCUGCAGCUA
rnacentral:rRNA from 1 species